UGGGGAAUAUUGCACAAUGGGCGCAAGCCUGAUGCAGCCAUGCCGCGUGUGUGAAGAAGGCCUUCGGGUUGUAAAGCACUUUCAGCGAGGAGGAAGGGUAGUGUGUUAAUAGCACAUUGCAUUGACGUUACUCGCAGAGGAAGCACCGGCUAACUCCGUGCCAGCAGCCGCGGUAAUACGGAGGGUGCAAGCGUUAAUCGGAAUUACUGGGCGUAAAGCGCACGCAGGCGGUUUGUUAAGUCAGAUGUGAAAUCCCCGCGCUUAACGUGGGAACUGCAUUUGAAACUGGCAAGCUAGAGUCUUGUAGAGGGGGGUAGAAUUCCAGGUGUAGCGGUGAAAUGCGUAGAGAUCUGGAGGAAUACCGGUGGCGAAGGCGGCCCCCCUGGACAAAGACUGACGCUCAGGUGCGAAAGCGU
rnacentral:rRNA from 1 species